GGAGUUGGCCGGGCAGCCGCCGCUGAAUUUCUCUGCGCCUCCGAAGGUGGCACAGGGUUUUCAGGGGAGGAAAGUCCGGGCUCCAUAGGGCAGGGUGCCAGGUAACCCCUGGGGGGCGCGAGCCUACGGAAAGUGCAGCAGAGAGUAGA
rnacentral:RNase_P_RNA from 1 species